AGUGAACGCUGGCGGUGGGCCUAACACAUGCAAGUCGAACGGCAGCACAGUAAGAGCUUGCUCUUACGGGUGGCGAGUGGCGGACGGGUGAGGAAUACAUCGGAAUCUACUUUUUCGUGGGGGAUAACGUAGGGAAACUUACGCUAAUACCGCAUACGACCUACGGGUGAAAGCAGGGGAUCUUCGGCCCUUGCGCGAUUGAAUGAGCCGAUGUCGGAUUAGCUAGUUGGCGGGGUAAAGGCCCACCAAGGCGACGAUCCGUAGCUGGUCUGAGAGGAUGAUCAGCCACACUGGAACUGAGACACGGUCCAGACUCCUACGGGAGGCAGCAGUGGGGAAUAUUGGACAAUGGGCGCAAGCCUGAUCCAGCCAUACCGCGUGGGUGAAGAAGGCCUUCGGGUUGUAAAGCCCUUUUGUUGGGAAAGAAAAGCAGAAGGUUAAUACCCCGCUGUUCUGACGGUACCCAAAGAAUAAGCACCGGCUAACUUCGUG
rnacentral:rRNA from 1 species